rnacentral:ncRNA from 1 species
CACCGCCCAUCACACUAUGGGAGCUUGCCAUGCCCGAAGUCGUUACCUUAACAGCAAAGAGGGGGAUGUCGAAGGCAAGGCUAGUGACUAGAGUGAAGUCAUAACAAGAUAGUCGUACUGGAAGGUGCGGCUG